UUGGAGGGCAAGUCUGGUGCCAGCAGCCGCGGUAAUUCCAGCUCCAAUAGCGUAUAUUAAAGUUGCUGCAGUAAAAAAGCUCGUAGUUGAAUUUCGGGACCGAUGUAUCGGUCGUACCUCGGUACGUACUGGUAUUUUCGGUUUCUCCCUUCUGACGAACCUUGAUGUCAUUAAUUUGGUGUCUUGGGGAAUCAGGACUGUUACUUUGAAAAAAUUAGAGUGUUUAAAGCAGGCUUAUUAGGCUUGAAUACAUUAGCAUGGAAUAAUGAAAUAGGACGAUUGAUCCUAUUUUUGUUGGUUUCUAGGAUUGACGUAAUGAUUAAUAGGGAUAGUUGGGGGCAUUAGUAUUCAAUUGUCAGAGGUGAAAUUCUUGGAUUUAUUGAAGACUAACUACUGCGAAAGCAUUUGCCAAGGAUGUUUUCAUUAAUCAAGAACGAAAGUUAGGGGAUCGAAGACGAUCAGAUACCGUCGUAGUCUUAACUAUAAACUAUGCCGACUAGGGAUCGGAUGAUGUUAAUUCUUUUUAAUGACUCAUUCGGCGCCUUACGGGAAACCAAAGUGUUUGGGUUC
rnacentral:rRNA from 1 species